rnacentral:rRNA from 1 species
GAUGAACGCUGGCGGCGUGCCUAAUACAUGCAAGUCGAGCGAACGGACGAGAAUCUUGCUUCUCUGAUGUUAGCGGCGGACGGGUGAGUAACACGUGGAUAACCUACCUAUAAGACUGGUAUAACUUCGGGAAACCGGAGCUAAUACCGGAUAAUAUUUUGAACCGCAUGGUUCAAAAGUGAAAGUCGGUCUUGCUGUCACUUAUAGAUGGAUCCGCGCUGCAUUAGCUAGUUGGUAAGGUAACGGCUUACCAAGGCAACGAUGCAUAGCCGACCUGAGAGGGUGAUCGGCCAAACUGGAACUGAGACACGGACCAGACUCCUACGGGAGGCAGCAGUAGGGAAUGUUCCGCAAUGGGCGAAAGCAUGACGGAGCAACGCCGCGUGAGUGAUGAAGGUCUUCGGAUCGUAAAACUCUGUUAUUAGGGAAGAACAUAUGUGUAAGUAACUGUGCACAUGUUGACGGUAACUAAUCAGAAAGCCACGGCUAACUACGUG